rnacentral:rRNA from 1 species
UACGAAGGGGGGCUAGCGUUGCUCGGAAUCACUGGGCGUAAAGGGCGCGUAGGCGGCCAUUCAAGUCGGGGGGUGAAAGCCCAGGGCUCAACCCUGGAAUUGCCUUCGAUACUGUUUGGCUAGAGACCGGAAGAGGUAAGUGGAACUGCGAGUGUAGAGGUGAAAUUCGUAGAUAUUCGCAAGAACACCAGUGGCGAAGGCGGCUUACUGGUCCGGUUCUGACGCUGAGGCGCGAAAGCGUGGGGAGCAAACAGG